CGCGCGUCCCCGCCUCCCGUUUGGUCGCGGCUCCUUAUCAUGGCGGAAACGAUUUUAAGACUUUUGGGCCAGGGGAGAUAAUUUCCAAGGCGGUACCUGAAGCCUCCCCGUCCCUCCAAGAAUGGGAAGACCUAGCAGCGUUUCAAAACUGAAAGGUUACACUGUGUUCCUGUGUCUGAAGUUCUUCCUGCUGCCACCAAAGCUACAACUAAGGAGUAACAUAUUUCAUGGGUCCUCUAGCUUCACACCUUCCUAGGCUUGUUUAGAAACUGCUUUUAACUUCACUAGAAAUAAUGUAAUACACUGUAUUUUAGUUCAAAACAAAAGAAACCUUUCUGUUAACUCCA